rnacentral:rRNA from 1 species
UACAGAGGUCUCAAGCGUUGUUCGGAUUCAUUGGGCGUAAAGGGUGCGUAGGUGGCUCUGUAAGUCGGGUGUGAAAUUUCGGAGCUUAACUCCGAAGCUGCAUUCGAUACUGCGGUGCUUGAGGACUGGAGAGGAGACUGGAAUUCAUGGUGUAGCAGUGAAAUGCGUAGAGAUCAUGAGGAAGACCAGUGGCGAAGGCGGGUCUCUGGACAGUUCCUGACACUGAGGCACGAAGGCCAGGGGAGCAAACGGG